ACGUAGGUGGCAAGCGUUAUCCGGAAUUAUUGGGCGUAAAGCGCGCGUAGGCGGUUUUUUAAGUCUGAUGUGAAAGCCCACGGCUCAACCGUGGAGGGUCAUUGGAAACUGUAAAACUUGAGUGCAGAAGAGGAAAGUGGAAUUCCAUGUGUAGCGGUGAAAUGCGCAGAGAUAUGGAGGAACACCAGUGGCGAAGGCGACUUUCUGGUCUGUAACUGACGCU
rnacentral:rRNA from 1 species